UCCAGGUCAGUUCAGUUGGGAGAAGGAUUUAGCACCGAGAGAACCCAGGGAUGGGGGCUCACAUGCCAGUUGGGGGUAUGACCUUUGGUAGCAGUCCCCGUGUUUCAUAACUACAUAGCCAACGUAGGUUGAGAUGUUAACUUGCUAGUUUAGGUUUGAUCUUAUACGGGUACCUGCCAAUUAAGGGUAACCCUUAGUCCUUCGGGAAAACACUUUAGUGGAUCAGUACAGCCAGUGUUAGUACCCGUGGCACGGUGCUGACACGCUUCCAAUUGGAGUCACA
rnacentral:lncRNA from 1 species